GGGACAUUAGCUCAAUUGGUAGAGCAGUGGACUCUUAAUCCAUUGGCUCUCGGUUCAAGUCCGAGAUGUCCCACCC
rnacentral:tRNA from 1 species